rnacentral:rRNA from 1 species
CCUACGGGCGGCUGCAGUGAGGAAUAUUGGUCAAUGGGCGUAAGCCUGAACCAGCCAAGUCGCGUGAGGGAUGAAGGUGCGAUGGAUCGUAAACCUCUGUUAUAAGGGAAUAAAGUGCGGGACGUGGCCCGUUUUGUAUGUACCUUAUGAAUAAGGAUCGGCUAACUCCGUGCCAGCAGCCGCGGUAAUACGGAGGAUCCGCGCGUUAUCCGGAUUUAUUGGGGUUAAAGGGUGCGUAGGCGGCCUUUUAAGUCAGCGGUGAAAGUCUGUGGCUCAACCAUAGAAUUGCCGUUGAAACUGGGAGGCUUGAGUAUGUUUGAGGCAGGCGGAAUGCGUGGUGUAGCGGUGAAAUGCUUAGAUCUCCCGCAGAACCCCGAUUGCGAAGGCAGCCUGCCAAGCCAUGACUGCCGCUGAUGCACGAACGCGUGGGGAUCAAACAGGAUUAGAUCCCCCGGUAGUC